UACCAGCACCCCGAGUGGUCGGGACGUUUAUUGGGCCUAAAGCAUCCGUAGCCGGUUCUACAAGUCUUCCGUUAAAUCCAACUGCUUAACAGGUGGGCUGCGGAAGAUACUAUAGAGCUAGGAGGCGGGAGAGGCAAGCGGUACUCGAUGGGUAGGGGUAAAAUCCUCUGAUCCAUUGAAGACCACCAGUGGCGAAGGCGGCUUGCCAGAACGCGCUCGACGGUGAGGGA
rnacentral:rRNA from 1 species